rnacentral:rRNA from 1 species
AGUGAACGCUGGCGGUAGGCCUAACACAUGCAAGUCGAACGGCAGCACAGUAAGAGCUUGCCCUUACGGGUGGCGAGUGGCGGACGGGUGAGGAAUACAUCGGAAUCUACUUUUUCGUGGGGGAUAACGUAGGGAAACUUACGCUAAUACCGCAUACGACCUACGGGUGAAAGCAGGGGAUCUUCGGACUUUGCGCGAUUGAAUGAGCCGAUGUCGGAUUAGCUAGUUGGCGGGGUAAAGGCCCACCAAGGCGACGAUCCGUAGCUGGUCUGAGAGGAUGAUCAGCCACACUGGAACUGAGACACGGUCCAGACUCCUACGGGAGGCAGCAGUGGGGAAUAUUGGACAAUGGGCGCAAGCCUGAUCCAGCCAUACCGCGUGGGUGAAGAAGGCCUUCGGGUUGUAAAGCCCUUUUGUUGGGAAAGAAAAGCAGCAGGUUAAUACCCCGCUGUUCUGACGGUACCCAAAGAAUAAGCACCGGCUAACUUCGUG